CCUACGGGUGGCAGCAGUGGGGAAUAUUGGACAAUGGGCGAAAGCCUGAUCCAGCCAUGCCGCGUGUGUGAAGAAGGCCUUCGGGUUGUAAAGCACUUUCAGUGGGGAAGAAAGCCUUGGGGCUAAUACCCUCGAGGAAGGACAUCACCCACAGAAGAAGCACCGGCUAACUCCGUGCCAGCAGCCGCGGUAAUACGGAGGGUGCGAGCGUUAAUCGGAAUUACUGGGCGUAAAGCGCGCGUAGGCGGUCUGAUAAGCCGGUUGUGAAAGCCCCGGGCUCAACCUGGGAACGGCAUCCGGAACUGUCAGGCUAGAGUGCAGGAGAGGAAGGUAGAAUUCCCGGUGUAGCGGUGAAAUGCGUAGGGAUCGGGAGGAAUACCAGUGGCGAAGGCGGCCUUCUGGACUGACACUGACGCUGAGGUGCGAAAGCGUGGGUAGCAAACAGGAUUAGAUACCUGGUAGUC
rnacentral:rRNA from 1 species